CAUCUUUUCUUGAUAAUUUAUUUGAGAUCUAACCUGCCCAAUGAUUAAUUUAAUGGCCGCGGUAUUUUGACCGUGCAAAGGUAGCAUAAUCAUUAGUUCAUUAAUUGUGGACUCGUAUGAAUGGUUGGACGAAAUAUUAACUGUCUCAUAUUUAUUAGUUGAAUUUAAUUUUUUAGUUAAAAAGCUUAAAUUUUAUUGUAAGACGAGAAGACCCUAUAGAUCUUUAUUUUUAAUUAGUAUUUAUUUUUUAGUUUAUUUUUUUAAGUUUUAAUUAGAUAUUUUGUUGGGGUGACAUUGAGAUAUAUUUAACUCUUUAUUUUAUAUACAAUUAUUUUUGAUUUUUUGACCUUUUAUUAUUGUUUAAAGCUAUAGAUACCUUAGGGAUAACAGCGUAAUUUUUUUUGAGAGUUCUUAUCGACAAUAAAGAUUGCGACCUCGAUGUUGGAUUAAGAAUAUUUUAGGGUGUAGCUGCUUUAUAAAUUAGGUCUGUUCGACCUUUAAAUUCUUA
rnacentral:rRNA from 1 species